UGCCAUUUAAAAAAAAAUUCCGCAAAAAUCUGUGUUUUUCGAUAAACUUUUUUGGCAUUACGGAUUUUUUAUUUUUUGGGGAGAGGCUGUGGGAAUCAUAGAAGUGGGGUUACAUGUCGUGCGGCGGUGUGACAAAAGUGACUGUGGACAUUAUAUUCAUAACUGCGUGCGCAUCAAUCUGGAAACCUUAAACUAAUAUAUUACAUAAACAACAUACCUGUGGUUUCUUUCGUCUGUGUUAAU